rnacentral:ncRNA from 1 species
UUUAAAAAGAAUUUAAUAGGUAAAUUGGGUCUAAAACGAGGUAUCGAGACCUCAAAUUCAUAAGCUGAGCCAUAAAUAUUUAUACCUUGUACACACCGCCCAUCACACUAUGGGAGCUGGCCAUGCCUGAAGUCGUUACCUUAACCGCAAUGAGGGGGAUGCCGAAGGCAGGGCUAGUGACUGGAGUGAAGUCGUAACAAGGUAGCCGUACUGGAAGGUGCGGCUGGAUCACCUCCUUU